GACGAACGCUGGCGGCGUGCUUAACACAUGCAAGUCGAACGGAAAGGCCCUGCUUGCGGGGUACUCGAGUGGCGAACGGAUGAGUAAGACGUGGGUGGUCUGCCCUGCUCUUAGGGAUAAGUUUGGGAGAGUGGGUCUAAUACCGGCUGGGAGCCAUCUUUAGUGGGGUGGUUGGAAAGUUUUUUCGGGGUAGGAUGAGCUCGCUGGCUAUCAGCUUGCUGGAGGGGUAAAGGCCUACCAAGACGGCGAAGGGUAGCCGGCAUGAGAGGGUGUACGGACACUCUGGACCUCUGCUACGGGCCAGACUCCUGCGGGAGGCGGCAGGGGGGAAUAUUGGACAGUGCGCGGACGCCUGAGGCAGGGACGCCGCGUGAGGGAUGAAGGCUGUCGUGUUGUAAAAUCCAAUCGCUAAGGACGAAGGCAUGUUGUGACGGUACCUAGACAAGAAGCUCCGGCUAACUACGUG
rnacentral:rRNA from 1 species